rnacentral:rRNA from 1 species
AGCGAACGCUGGCGGCAGGCCUAACACAUGCAAGUCGAACGAACUCUUCGGAGUUAGUGGCGGACGGGUGAGUAACACGUGGGAACGUGCCUUUAGGUUCGGAAUAACUCAGGGAAACUUGUGCUAAUACCGAAUGUGCCCUUCGGGGGAAAGAUUUAUCGCCUUUAGAGCGGCCCGCGUCUGAUUAGCUAGUUGGUGAGGUAAAGGCUCACCAAGGCGACGAUCAGUAGCUGGUCUGAGAGGAUGAUCAGCCACAUUGGGACUGAGACACGGCCCAAACUCCUACGGGAGGCAGCAGUGGGGAAUCUUGCGCAAUGGGCGAAAGCCUGACGCAGCCAUGCCGCGUGAAUGAUGAAGGUCUUAGGAUUGUAAAAUUCUUUCACCGGGGACGAUAAGGACGGUACCCGGAGAAGAAGCCCCGGCUAACUUCGUG